GCUUAGAUAACAAUACAGUGCCUCUCUUUCUUUACCUCUUUCCCCACAAUUUCUUCCUUUUUCUUGAAUCCCAGCCCAUCCUUGAGGCCUGCCACCAAUUGGAAGAUCUUCAGUUCCACCUCUUUCCUGGACAUCUGACUGUAUUGCCCAUCAUUGUCUAUGCUCUGCCCACCGAGAAGAUGCAUCUGGAUCCCUGGUGUCACUUAUUGCUGAACUGUUUGAAUACCAAGUUAUACCGACCUGAAUCUCCCAAGUACCAACAGCAGCCUGGCUCGAAGCCAGAAGGAAUGACUGGAUAUCCCAAGUACCUGAUGGCCACAUAAACAUUUGAAGUAUCAAGCAUUAGAAGAAAGGUCCUGGCCAUCGCUGUGAGGCUGAAUGGAUACAGAUGCUACGGAUGGACGUGUCAUAAUAGUUUUAGCCACCAGAAGGAGCUCUAAAACAGACUACAGGGAAGUAUUAGACGUUCUGGCAAAGAGGAGGAAAAUAAUAUAUUGUCUACAGAUGGAGAGUGUAAACCACAUUAAAACUUAAUAAAGAAUUACAGAGUGGCUGAGGGAAUUAUAACACUAAAAAUUCUUCAGAAGACAAAAUACAAGUGCCCAAAGGCAUUAUGCUAGUACUGUGGUUUUGUUUUUUCUUUUUUAAGGGGAAAAAAUACACGAGAAAUAUUGAUUCAAUUAGUGAAGCCAAACAAGGCAUGAGAUUGUAAAUGAGAAUAAAUUUACACAGAGCUUCUCAACCCCUCCAUCUGCCAAAAUAUUCCUUUCAGUGGAGUCAGCCUUAUAGAUGAACAUUGGAAGAUGAUUCAAAAGAUGCUGACAGCUUCCCUUCAUCAGAAAUUUCUCUUCUGAUUAACCUCUAGUGCCUGAAAUUCUUAAGAC
rnacentral:lncRNA from 1 species